UGGGGAAUUUUGCGCAAUGGGCGAAAGCCUGACGCAGCGACGCCGCGUGGAGGAUGAAGGCCUUCGGGUCGUAAACUCCUGUCUUGGGGGAAGAAAAACGUAGGUGCUAAUACCACUUACGUCUGACGGUACCCCAGGAGGAAGCACCGGCUAACUCCGUGCCAGCAGCCGCGGUAAUACGGAGGGUGCAAGCGUUGCUCGGA
rnacentral:rRNA from 1 species